ACGUAGGGGGCGAGCGUUAUCCGGAUUCAUUGGGCGUAAAGCGCGCGCAGGCGGCCUCUCAAGCGGCUCCGUCGAAGCCGGGGGCUCAACCCCCGGAAGCGGGCCGAACUGGGAGGCUCGAGGCAGGCAGAGGAGGGCGGAAUUCCCGGUGUAGCGGUGGAAUGCGCAGAUAUCGGGAAGAACACCGACGGCGAAGGCAGCCCUCUGGGCCUGUCCUGACGCUCAGGCGCGAAAGCCGGGGGAGCGAACAG
rnacentral:rRNA from 1 species